rnacentral:lncRNA from 1 species
AUACAUCUUCCUAACUACAACUUUCAAGGUGUCCUUACCUCUUGAACCUCCUGCACUGUUAUCGUAAGAACAUAAGAAGAGCCUGCUGGAUCAGGCCAAUGUCCCAUCUAGUCCAGCAUCUUGUUCUCAAGGUGGCCAACCAGAUGCCUGUGGAAAAGCCGGGAUUCAAGCAGGAAGGUAUUCUCUCCGCCUGUGGUUUCUGGUAACUGGUAUUCAGAAGCAUUAUCGCCUCCCAACUGUGAAGGGAGAUCAUAGCCAUCAUGACUACUAGCCCCUGAUAGCCUUUUCCUCAAUGCAUUUGACCAUCCCUUUUGCUGGCCCAGUUGUACACACUCUCCCAUGCUUACCCACAACCCCCUCAGAACAGAGUCACAAGCCUCUCCCAGUCCUACAAGUUCCCACAUGCUUCCACUCUGCCCAGGUCCUUGGCCAUAUUAACUUCUGCUUAAGGCUGUGUCCAAAUGGCACCUUUCCCCUAUUUCCAUUGUGACUGGAUUCAAUUAAAGUGGAUUUGGAGCUGUUGUGCAAUGAACCACUCCCCCCCCCAAUAAUUAGUUGUUUCUUGUGGUAAAUAAAGUGACGAACUGCACUGGGAAAUGUGGGGUAACAUUUGUGGCUUGACAUGGCAUGGUGGUGUAACCCCUCCACAAACAACUCAGAUUGAAUGCUCACUAAACAGCUGGUGCCUUAUAACCUCUAUGCAGACUUUGUGCAAACAGGUCAGGGUGAAUGCUUAAGCGCUCAGCAAUUUUGUUCUCAGGGUGGCCUGUGGGAAACCUAUAAGCAGGUCCUGAGCUCAACAACACAGUCUUUGCUGAAAGCGUAUUCUUUAGUACAAGCAAACUUGAAAGCCUCAUUAUCACCUCUUGCCAGACCAAGGAGGCUCCAUAAAUGAUCCCUGUGCUCCCAACUGGUGAUGUCAUUGCUCCUGCUCUGAAAAUGUCCCAAAGUUCUGCUCUCCUGUGUUCCCCCUUCAUUAUGCCAUGGUUAUUACCAGUAACUACUACCAAAGCCCAGCUGCCCAGCUGGAAAAACUUUGUCCCCCUCCCUUCAAGAUUAGCAGUUCCCCCAAGCUACAACAACAACAAAAAUGAUAUGAAGGACUUCCGUAUGCAUAUGUGUGCAUACAUGGACACAUGGGAUAGAUUGUUUGCAAAUAUAGGUCUAAUUGAAAGAAAGUAAAGGCUUGAGGGGUGCUUGCGUGUGUGUUUCUGCAACAAAUAAUGGUGUGUGUGGUAGAAACCAGAGACAGAACCUGUGAGCCUUAAUCAUAUAAAUUACAGAUAGGGUGUGUGGGUGUGUCAUAGAAGUAAAAUAGACGAAAAUCCUACUAGACUGCCGUUAGUCAUCUUUUGGCAAUUAUCUCCAGUUCAGGUAUAAACGACUCAAUCAGUCUCUUUGUUGAUUGCAUUUAAUUGCAUUUUGAUGAAUUCCAUGCAAUAAAAUGCACAGUGCUGGAUUUUAGAGUAUUCUCUUUGCCUAAGGAGGAAAAGGAAAUUGUCCCAGGGAGUUAGCAAUACUUCCAUUAUAAUAGGUGUCAACACUUAUCUGACAUUGUCCACAACAAACAAGGCAAACAAGGGCUUAAGGGGAAGAUGGUAGUGCCAGGCAGACUUUCUCAAACAUGGCAGGAUUUACUAGUGCAGAAAAAGCUAGACAGAUAAAGCCUGGAGAAGGAGAUAAAAUAAGCGGGUGGAAGCACUUAAACAACAGAUAAAGAAUUUUAGCAUCAGCAUAGCAGGGCUAUAGACCAUUCAGAUAAAUGAUGAUGUCUGUGUGUUUUGCAUUAUAGACUUGUUACAAAUGUCACAUCCAACACACACAUACACACACACACUGCGCUCUGGUUAGUCACGGAUAGUCUUAUAAUGUACUGUCUAACUGAGCAAACAUUUUCUCUGCUCAAAAAGCUGCUGAAGAACAUCAGUUUUACUAUGUAGAGUAUCUUCCUUUUGUAUGAUGGCUGGGCCAACGAACAGAGUGUCAAUCUUGGACCUGAGACCCUGCUUCCAAAGUCAGGCUCAGCCAUGAAGUCACAUGAUAUCCACCAUUGGCAAGUUGCUCUUAGUUUCCUGUUGGUAAAAUGGAUCUAGCAGAGAUGGGGAUGGGAGGGAGCCUUAUUCCAUGCUAGACCGUUUGUCUGUCCUAGCCUGGCAUUGUCUCUACACAAUCCUAUAUAUAAGAAUAAUUUCAAAUCUAUUGCAGACUGGGAUAAUAUUCUUCACUUAAAAUGUUUGUUUCCUUACAACAACUCUGUGAGGUAGGUUAGGCCGGGAGACUGUGACUGGCCCAAGGUCACCAAGUGAGUUUCACAGCUGAGCAGGGAUUUGAACCUUGGCCUCCCAGAUCCUAGUCCAAUACUCUGACUGUUACACUAUGCGCACUCUCUUUUAAACAUGAUUGCAAUCUGUCUGUUGCUCUUUGACCACCGGGGCCUUAGUCCCUGCAUCCAGAUCUUUUGUUUAUUUGUUGUUUAAACCCAACAGUGCACACGCAGGGAGUUUUGCAGCAUGAAAAUAAUUAGAAAGUAGUCAGGCUGCUUCCCCAGGGAGCUGUCAGGAUGCUGUCAGCGGCUCCUAGCUGGUCACCUAGGAAAGUAUAAAGACAAAGGAAAGUUUCUUACAGUCCUUUUUUAUUUAAAUCUUUACAGAACCCAGCCUCUUGGAUAAUGGUGUUGUCGCGAGUGAAUCUUCACCCCGUCUCUCCCACUUGCUCAUUCGUCACUUCUACAGGUGCUGCUAGGUGCCCUUUGUCUUUGAGCUCUUUGCUCUCCUACUUUUAAGGCUCGCCGGGUUCUGGGAGAUGGAGGGUCUGGAAUGCUCUCUAAUGACGACGUGUCAGCUGGGUGUUGUUCCGGCUCUUCCAUGAUUUCCCAACUUUCCCCCUCAUCUGCCUCUGAGCUGUGACCUCCCUCAAACCCCUGUUGUAAAUUUAUACUGUCUUCCUCUUCCUCCUUCCUGGAAGGGUCAGGGUGGGGAGGCAGUCUCCACCAUUCCUCCUCUGCCCAAUCCCUGACAGGAGCAUACAAUCUAAAGUCUGGUGGAGCCGGGGUGAGAAAAGAGGGAGGGGUGAAGCAAAGGUAUCAAGGGAUGAAUGGGAGCACAGGCAGUUUCAUGUAAGCGUGUUAUUUUCUUGCAAUUACUUAGGUUUAAAGAAUUAAGAACAGAUUGGUACAUCUCCUAAAGCAAAACAGAAGAAGAAGAAGAAGAAGAAGAAGAAGAAGAAGAAGAAGGAGAAGGAGAAGAAGAAGAAGUAGUCUGGGCAGAGGGAGGGGGUUGGGUGAUGACUAGGACAAGGAUAUAUUCAGCCUUUCCUUGUCUGUGACUAUCUACUUAGUCAGCAUGUUUAUGGCCACAAAAGGCAGUGUUUGUUGACUUUAAGAGUUUUAGGGACACAAUGCAAAUGGGACGAAAAGUCUGUCCAUGUCCAAACAUGAAUGGAAAUGUCCAUCAAGGUAUUUAUUGUAGAGAUAGGCACAUUCCAGGGCGUGGCUGAUACUUUUUUUUUAAGGUUACCACUGAUUUUGAAACUCAGGUAGCAUAUAGAUUACCAAGCAGGGGAGUCUAGUCUAUGGAGUAGAUGUUUAUUUGAGCAGCUCUCUUAUCAUAGCCAACUUACAAGGCAGAGACCUGAGAAGGCAUUUGUGGAUGAAGGUUUAAACUAAAUAUUUUUGGACUGGUAGGUUGGAAAAUACACAUUAAAUGAGAGAGACAACUCACUCUGACCCGGGGGCAACCUGGCUUCUGUCAAAGGAGUGGUUGCCUAGGUCAUCUGAAUGCUUGCAGUGCAAUUUCAGAAUGAGCCAUCCUGAUUCAGAGAAGUAUUAGACAUGCACACAAUACCUUACGCAUUAUGGCAUCAUCAUCCAGUCUAUGAAGAGUACUGUAUAGACUUACCCAGGUAAAUAUCAGAUCGACUCCAAUGCUUUGGGCAGAGAGGUAAGGGGGGGGAAAUCCCAGCCAUUGCAUCUGCCAGUGUAACGUUUAAAAAAGCACAACAUUUAACCACUCUCUACAAGGAGGCUGAUUUUGCAUUAAAUAAGUGGAAUCUUUUGUAUAUGAUAUACAUAUUUCUAAAUAAUUGCCUAAACACUAAACACUGUAGAAACACUGGUUUCUAAAUCAUGAAGGCUGCAGUCUGAACAAUGUACAGCUUAUUUCCAGUUGUCUGGUAAUGUUUUGGCAUUUUUGUUUGUUUAAAAUGAAGGUUUUUAAAAUGAAA